AGACGUGGCAAUAUUGUGCGCGGAGGCGUCCUCACGGCCACGCGCAGCCCCCUCGGUCACUCUCGCCGGGCCGCCACUCCUGCCAGAUUCGAAACUUCACAAUGGAUUUGGUCUGGAAGCACAGUGGUGUGGACUACACCAUUUUCAAAAGAAUUGAUCAUGUGUUUGUGAAAUCUAAAUGGAAGAGGUAGUUCAGGCUUCAUGUGACUCUACAAAAUGGAUGCUAUUGUACAGAUGAAAUGGACAAGUGCUGCAGCUCGGUUUUGUGAAGCAUAGAGAUGCAAGUAAAUGGGUCUGCAGAGUGGCAGCUUUUCUUUCAACCUUUUGCUGCUGGGCCAUGCUUAUAGUUGUACCUGUCAUGCCCACAAUAUACAUCAGAGCCUGUGGACUAAAGGGAGUGAAAUUGUCCUAGACUGGAUAUGUAACCA